UACGGGGGGGGUAAGCGUUGUUCGGAAUUACUGGGCGUAAAGGGCUCGUAGGCGGCCAACUAAGUCAUACGUGAAAUCCCUCGGCUCAACCGGGGAACUGCGUCUGAGACUGGAAGGCUUGAAUCCGGGAGAGGGAUGUGGAAUUCCAGGUGUAGCGGUGAAAUGCGUAGAUAUCUGGAGGAACACCGGUGGCGAAGGCGGCAUCCUGGACCGGUAUUGACGCUGAGGCGCGAAAGCCAGGGGAGCAAACGGG
rnacentral:rRNA from 1 species